UUUCCGUAGGUGAACCUGCGGAAGGAUCAUUAUUGUAUAACCGAGCUGCGAGGUAUGUCGCUGACACGUCUGUGCGCCCAGGCCCGAGUGCCCUCUUACCCAACCAUCUCACCCCUACGUACUACACCCCAACAGUCCCAAUUUUGCUUGUACGGAGGGCGUCUUACGUUUUUACACAAAGUAUGCAUGCCGUGGGGAAUGUAUUUUUUGUUCUUGCGACACCACGAGCAAUACCACUUUCAUCAACGGAUCUCUUGGCUCUCGGAUUGAUGAAGAACG
rnacentral:misc_RNA from 1 species